rnacentral:rRNA from 1 species
GCUUUACACAUGCAAGUCGAACGGCAGCGCGGGGCAACCUGGCGGCGAGUGGCGAACGGGUGAGUAAUAUAUCGGAACGUACCCAAGAGUGGGGGAUAACGUAGCGAAAGUUACGCUAAUACCGCAUACGAUCUAUGGAUGAAAGUGGGGGAUCGCAAGACCUCAUGCUCCUGGAGCGGCCGAUAUCUGAUUAGCUAGUUGGUGAGGUAAAGGCUCACCAAGGCGACGAUCAGUAGCUGGUCUGAGAGGACGACCAGCCACACUGGAACUGAGACACGGUCCAGACUCCUACGGGAGGCAGCAGUGGGGAAUUUUGGACAAUGGGCGCAAGCCUGAUCCAGCAAUGCCGCGUGAGUGAAGAAGGCCUUCGGGUUGUAAAGCUCUUUUGUCAGGGAAGAAACGGUGGGAGCUAAUAUCUCUUGCUAAUGACGGUACCUGAAGAAUAAGCACCGGCUAACUACGUGCCAGCAGCCGCGGUAAUACGUAGGGUGCAAGCGUUAAUCGGAAUUACUGGGCGUAAAGCGUGCGCAGGCGGUUUUGUAAGUCUGUCGUGAAAGCCCCGGGCUCAACCUGGGAAUUGCGAUGGAGACUGCAAGGCUUGAAUCUGGCAGAGGGGGGUAGAAUUCCACGUGUAGCAGUGAAAUGCGUAGAGAUGUGGAGGAACACCGAUGGCGAAGGCAGCCCCCUGGGUCAAGAUUGACGCUCAUGCACGAAAGCGUGGGGAGCAAACAGGAUUAGAUACCCUGGUAGUCCACGCCCUAAACGAUGUCUACUAGUUGUCGGGGUUUUAAUUAACUUGGUAACGCAGCUAACGCGUGAAGUAGACCGCCUGGGGAGUACGGUCGCAAGAUUAAAACUCAAAGGAAUUGACGGGGACCCGCACAAGCGGUGGAUGAUGUGGAUUAAUUCGAUGCAAC